GACGAACGCUGGCGGCGUGCUUAACACAUGCAAGUCGAACGGAAAGGCCCAGCUUUUGUGGGGUGCUCGAGUGGCGAACGGGUGAGUAACACGUGAGUAACCUGCCCUUGACUUUGGGAUAACUUCAGGAAACUGGGGCUAAUACCGGAUAGGAGCUCCCGCUGCAUGGUGGGGGUUGGAAAGUUUCGGCGGUUGGGGAUGGACUCGCGGCUUAUCAGCUUGUUGGUGGGGUAGUGGCUUACCAAGGCUUUGACGGGUAGCCGGCCUGAGAGGGUGACCGGCCACAUUGGGACUGAGAUACGGCCCAGACUCCUACGGGAGGCAGCAGUGGGGAAUAUUGCACAAUGGGCGGAAGCCUGAUGCAGCAACGCCGCGUGCGGGAUGACGGCCUUCGGGUUGUAAACCGCUUUCGCCUGUGACGAAGCGUGAGUGACGGUAAUGGGUAAAGAAGCACCGGCUAACUACGUG
rnacentral:rRNA from 1 species